AAACUACCCUUUGGUGCGGAAUAACACAGAGAAAUUUGUGCUAAUACCGCAUAAGCUCUUNGGAGGAAAGAUUUAUCGCCAAAGGAUGUGCCCGCGUCCGAUUAGCUAGUUGGUGAGGUAACGGCUCACCAAGGCGACGAUCGGUAGCUGGUCUGAGAGGAUGAUCAGCCACACUGGGACUGAGACACGGCCCAGACUCCUACGGGAGGCAGCAGUGGGGAAUAUUGGACAAUGGGCGCAAGCCUGAUCCAGCCAUGCCGCGUGAGUGAUGAAGGCCUUAGGGUUGUAAAGCUCUUUCGCCCGCGAGGAUAAUGACGGUACCGGGAUAANAAGCCCCGGCUAACUUCGUGCCAGCAGCCGCGGUAAUACGAAGGGGGCUAGCGUUGUUCGGAAUCACUGGGCGUAAAGCGCACGUAGGCGGACUUUUAAGUCAGAGGUGAAAGCCUGGAGCUCAACUUCAGAACUGCCUUUGANACUGGAANUCUUGACGUUNCGUAGAGCACGAUUAAGAUAGACCUGGUANU
rnacentral:rRNA from 1 species